rnacentral:rRNA from 1 species
CCUACGGGAGGCAGCAGUGGGGAAUAUUGGGCAAUGGAGGAAACUCUGACCCAGCGACGCCGCGUGCGGGAUGAAGGCCUUCGGGUUGUAAACCGCUUUCAGUAGGGAAGAAGCGAAAGUGACGGUACCUACAGAAGAAGCACCGGCUAACUAUGUGCCAGCAGCCGCGGUAAUACAUAGGGUGCAAGCGUUGUCCGGAAUUAUUGGGCGUAAAGAGCUCGUAGGUGGUUCGUUACGUCGGAUGUGAAAAUCUGGGGCUCAACCCCAGACCUGCAUCCGA